GGUCCUCUAUGGAAAAUAAUUGUUUUAAAUUUUUUCAAUUGUUGAAGAAACAAUGAGUGAAUUAGAAACUUUAUAUUAUAUAUUUUUAGAUAUUCUAAUAAUAAAUUUUAAUGUAUUUAAAAUUAUAAAUAUUUAAAUGAAUAUAUUAUUAUAUUAAUAUUUAAAAUUAUAGAAAAAUAUUAUUUUAUAUAUAUAUGUAUAUGCGUGUGUAUUUCACGAUGAAUAUUUAAAUGUUUUAAAUAUAAAAAUUUGUAAAUUUUCUAUCAUUAUAAUUGGCAAUAAAUUUCUAAAUGUUUUAAACAUCGAACGUACCAUGGAUCACCAUGAUAGAAAACGAUCCUGAAGUCGCGCAUGCGCAACAGUAUGUGAAUAACGUACGGAGAGCGGAGAAUAUGUUUCGUUUUUCGAAACGAAUUACUUGUGAAAAUAAUGAAUUAUUGUUAAUUAUAGUUUGACGAAUGUCACCAACAAAUCUGUUUCACGUUUCUUUCAUUUUUCAAAAAUGAUAUUAAGAAAUGAAAAUAUUCUUAUUAUUUACUGUUAUUUCAAUCGUGAUACGACUUCAAACGACUUCGACAUUUUGUCUCUUUAAUAUUCGAUCCAAGAUUCAAGAGAAAUGGAAGUUGAAACAGUGAUCAAAGAAGAUGUUCGAUCGUCUCGAAAAGAGAUAAUCAAGAUUCGUUUCGAGAAGAGACUGAAGGAUACGGUUUUUAGACGAUAUAAUUCACGAUCAAGAGGGAGCAUGAAAUUGGAGCGUGGCAAUCAGAAAUGGGACGUUCAUUGAAUUCGACCAGUAAAAGGGAAAAAGUGGGCACGACAAGGAGUAUAACACACAUUAUGAGAGGAAUCGAUAAGAACUGGGUUAACACGAUCAGUUAAAGCAGCAGACUUUCUUUAACAUGACUACUAUAUUUAAAAUUAAUGAUGAUUUAAUCAGAUGGAAAAUUGAACAAUCCCAUGCGUUUUCCAAUCCAUUCUCUCCGAAGAGAAUCAUCUUUUUGAUGUCAUUCACCUUUGUUCCUAUUAUCAGAGGCAAAGAUUCAUUUUUCCUGAUAAUGAAAUCUUUUUUCUUUUUUAAGAAACACGAUCAACCGAGGCAAUCUUCAACGGCUUAUAUUAUAUUUAAAAUUAGACAGAUGAAGAAUUGAAGAAGAAUAAGAUAUUUCAGGCUGUGAUUUUUUUGAAGAGAAUCAUCUCCUUGAUGUUUAUUCAUCUUUUGUUGGUAAAUUAAUUUUUUCUAUACUCAUGAAAUCCUUUCCAACGUAUCUUUUGAAAGAUUAAGGAUACGAUGCUUAAUAUCCUUAUAUCUCAAUACUUCAUAUUUAUAUUUUAAAUAACUCAAUAUCUUGAAAGUAUUAGUCAUUUUAUAAUUCAAGUUGCGUAGACUUGCUUCAAAGGCAAAACGAUGAUAUAUCCAAUUUAAAUCAUAUUUUCUGGGAUAUGAAAAAGCAGGAUUCACAAGAAAACCGAUACUUUAAUCUCGUUCCUUUGAGAAUUCAGUUAUACGCAUGCUAUGAUAUUAAGAUUAUAAGUAGAUGCAUCUUAUAAAUAUAUCCAGUUCAAAUUAUAUUUCUUGGGAUAUAAUCUGUUCAAGAAACGAUCUACAAAUAAAUCUAAGUUCUAUCUGUUACCAAAAGAUCAGAAACACUAAAUAACGGAUAUUAGACAUCAGCUCAUAAAUGUAUUUAGUUUAAACCACGUUUUCUUGUUGCAAUCGUUCCAAAAUCCUCGCGAGCAAAUUCAAAUCACGUUUCGACUAGAAUUGGACGCGUUUCGUUUCGAAUCAAAUAACAAAUAACAUGUAUAACAAAUUAUUUUCAAAUUCUGCUGAGAUUAUUUCAAUGAUUAUUAUAAAUUGUUUGACAUUUAUAAAAUUUAUCAUUGCAGCGAAUGAAAACAAAAUUUGUAAAAAUAAAUAGAAUUAUUCAAUGAAA